GACAGUCCCUUGAGGGCCUUGCUACAAACUGCCACACACUCCUCAAAUUUGCUUUUCUUAAAGAGGUAAGCUGCCUGCGCUCUGCAAACCCAGACAUCACCUGGUGCCACUGCAGACAAGAAGGCGUAGCAGUUGCCCAGCCAGUGGUCCAAGGAACUGCCAUCUGGGCUUUCUUUCUGAUACGUUGAGAGAAAAUUAGAGAAGGCCUGGAUGAUCUGUGGCAGAUGUUCCUUUUGCCUGGUACACACAUAGGCCACUGCCUCAGCCUGAUGCCUCACAAACACUUGGAUGUAGUCUGCAACUCCCUUUCUAAUCUGUGUCCCCGACAGCACCCAUGCCAACGCCCUGAGCAGCAGCAGUUCUACUGAAUACUUCGGAUGAGCCUUGAGCAGAACAUUGCAUUUGCUCACCACCUCCUCUGAGCAACCCUGCCUGAGCAGGGCCUCCAUUUUAUAUAUCGAGGACAGCACGUUGUCAGGACUUAGGGUGGAGAGAAAGACAGCAGCUACUUCCACUCUGAGCGACGCGAUGGACACCUUCUUGCUCUGGAUCUUGGGAAUCUGGCUCUUGCCCCUGCACCACAUCUCCAAGGUGGCAAUCACUCUCUCCCAGAGCCCGUUCUCCAAGGAGUUCACUUUCUGCAGGGCUGUGGGAGCGCUGCAGCUGAAGGCGGCCACGUAGAAAGCCGUGGCUGCGGGCAGCUCCUGCUGGGCGAGGUGCUGAUCCCCUUCUCUGCAGAGCAGCGCAGCGAGCCCCUGAGGUGACAUUGCCAGCACCUGUAUCCUCACCGAGGAGCGUCACAGGAGCAUCUAUAUCAGCCUGUAAAACAAAAUCGGCACGAGGGGCCGCUGAGCACAGUUUCUCCGCAUUUGGGGCACGCAGCUUCCCUAUGGACGAGCCAAAGCCCCGGGACGAACCGGACGUUCCAGCGGGGAGCAAAGCCACGAGAAGAAACACACAGCCCAGGUUAACAGCCCACAUCCGCGCGACUGCAGCACGAGUGAGCAGGAAGGAUGAGGCCGAGAGCAGCGCAGGGCUCCUCGCGGGGCGCCGGGGGUCUCGCCCUCCCUCUCACCCCCACAAGUACCUGGCAGCGGCGUUCGGCGGAGCGGCCCGCGGCUCCCGAGGCGAGAUGAAAAAACCCUGAGCCUACACUCGGCCUUGCCAGUCGCUGUUUCCUGUCACUUGUGAUGGCCUCUUCCCAGGACGGAUAUUUCUGAUGAUGUCAGUGAAGUUACCUGCGUGCAACUGUGGAGUAAUCUAUUGCAGGCAGCUGUGGAGCUCUCUGUCGAAAAAUAAAGAAUGAAAAAUGAAUAAUGCUUCCACACUUGUGAAGAAGAGAAAAAUUUAGAUUCCAAAGAAUUCAUUCCUCAGCACAGCAGCAAACGGAGCCCACGUGUGUGCACUGCAAGCUCCAAUUUCUGCGGCUCCUGCAAGAAUCUCGCACUGGUUAUCAGCUUCUCAGCGCUGUCAUUUUUAAUGUCAUGGGGAAGCAUUCAUGUCAAGAGAUUCUUAUUGUGGAAAAUAGUUUUCUUGUUGUUAUCUUGCAGUCUAAAUAGGUUAGAGGGCUGACAAAGAACGCUGUGAACACAAUGCUGGUGAGCAGUGAAGGACGUCACAGAGAGCGACCUGUCUGCAGCACGAUGGCGCAUCUGCAACGGCUGGAAACUGAACCCACAUUGCAGCACUGUCUGAAUGGCCAAAGUCACACCGGGAGCGUUCAGCUGGGCUGCCACUCUGAGGGCAGGGGCAGCACUGCUGGAUUAAGGAUCACAAAAUGCAGAGAGUGGGGAGAGUUUGUAAAGGUGCCCCAUUGCUGGAUGGCGUUGUCUCCUGCUUCGGAAUCUGCCGCUAAGUGACGAGCUGCUCAAUGAAGCUGGCAUCUCCCUGGGAGAUGGUACCUGGCCCUCUCUGCUUGGGUGGCUCCAUUUAAAAGUUGGCAGAAUACCCAGAACAGCAUCAGAAUUAAUUUAGUACAAAAUUAGUUGACUUAAAGUAAACAGAAUAAAAUAAAAUAAAUCCUAUGGUAUUAAAGGCCUCUUGGCUGGACUGCUGCAUGCCUAACACAGAUUUAUGGCCUGCUGUUGCUAGAACUUUGAAAAGACUGUGCAGUGCACGAGAACCCUGCAAGGCCUGCUCCAGGGAGCGCCCAGCAGCGCAGGCGUGGGGGGGUGUGGAGGUGCUCCAUGAUAAGAUGCUGGAGGGGAAGAUGCUGUGGGAGAGCCAGAAAGGGCUCAGUGGGAACGGGAGGCAAGACAAAGGCAAGGAGAUGCUGAUCCAGCGUGCCACCAAAAUCCAAGCCACUCCGAGGACGUCUCUCAUCCUGAUGUAUCUGCUAAGCACAUUGAGCCAGUCUGCACACGUGAGGCCAAAACACAAUCCCUCUCAUGGUAAAUGGCAACGUCAGCUGCUUCGCUCUCUUACUGGUGUUUAAAAUUUUUGCAGCAAAUAACAGAAAAUUUGAAAGGACAUCAGAAAUGGAUUUACAGGGCUCCAGGGAAAUCAAAUCUUUCCUGUUCCAACAGCUUCUUUAUCAUAACUUGCUUUCUCAGUCUCUGAAUGAUGUUCUAUUAAUCCUGGUGUGCAGUGAUUACUAUUAAAUGCAGAGCUGGGUUGAACCUCAAAUUGUGAAAUAACCUUUUCUCUGUUUUCUCUAAGUCCAGCAUGGUAAAUUUUGGAUAGAGGUCUACUGACCAAGUGGAUAAUUGCGUUCCAAUGCAUCCUGUGAAUAAUGCAGAUAAAAAACCUUCAGUGAAUAAUUCAUUUUGCCUCCAAUCAGUUUGAAUUAGUCCAUUCAUGUAUGUAUCCUUUCCAGUCUGCCUGUCUCUGAGCAUGCAUGUAUUUACAUAGCAAUGUUGUAAUUCUCAGGUACUUAAAUAUCAGAUAGCUGUUAUUUUGUGCAUAUGUUCCUGACUACUUUGUGCAGUUGCAUAUGUAAAAGUCAGCAUUAUAUAUUUUAUUGUAUGAAACAUGACACAUCAUAUUGGCUGCUGUGUUGGCUAAGAUUUAAUACUAAAAAGCCUUCAAAUGCAGGCAGAUCUCUUUGGCCUGCCAAUGGAUUACAGAAUAAAUCUUUUGGGCUCUUCUGUGUUCAGAUGCAAGUUUUCAGCAGUGGUGUAUGUUGCCAAAGGUACCUUACUUUUACCCUGCCAGCAGCUAAUGGGUGCUUCUAGGUCAAGCACAGCCUAUGAGUAGGAGGAAGCACUUGGUUUUGGAGGUGGUGUUCCUGGAGGGGUAUGGAUAGCGCUGAAAUUGCCUGUGCAUCACUGAUACCUGCAGCUCAGGAGCCUUCAUCUGAAAAGCAGAGGGAAGGCGCUGAUUUCCUGAUGGAAUGGCUGAGGCCUGGGGAUGCUCCCAAUGGAAUGGGCUGUGCGUCCUCCUGCCUCAGACAGACAACAAGGUGUGAGCACACAGCUCCUAAUGGGGGCUGGCAGACGGUUUAUCUUUGCCUGAGAGGUCCUGCUCUGCUGAGAGAGGCGGAUGCUCAUUUUUAUUCCUUGUUGUGGGCUUUUCAGUUUCCAGUCCAUUACAGGUGACACAGCUGAUAAGGAGCCUGUCUGUUAGCACUGUCCCUGGAGGGGCGAAUCUUCAUCCCUCCCUGCACUCAAACCACAGCUGCCUGCACGUAGUUUUUGAGAUCACGCUGGGCACCAAGCGAGGGCUUCUGUGCUGGAAGCCCUGCCAGGCCCUGUGCCACACAGCCCUCUUGGCUCUGAGUGGGGCAUGGCAGCUCCAGGGCAAACCUCUUCUCCACUGGCGAUGUCAGUGCGUAAAUGAAUGCUCUGUCAUUUUCUGAUUGAGUCAGAAGCAAAAAUUGUACAGCUGCUCUGCUAACAGCUCCAGCGCACUGCUUGGCAAAGAGGUGCCCAGCAGACAGCUUUGCUGCAGAGCCAUCGCCCGUGGAAAAGAGCAGGAGACAAAACUCGUGUCUGAUAUUCAAAAAAUUAUUUUCCUAGAGUUGAUCCCUAUCUUCCAGCAACACCACAAGGAAAGUUAUGUGGCAGAUUGACUUGAAAUAGUUCCUACUUGGAGCGAGCAGUCUUCUCAUUUCACAGAAAUCUUUAUUUAUACUUCAGGGAUUGGAGAAAAUGAAGCAACAUUUCUACAGGAUGGUGCAUUGCUCCUCUAUUUGUCCGACAGACCUGUGCUGAGUACUCUGCGUGGUUUUGAUAUAAAGCCAAGAAUGGGUUGUAGAAAAAUGUGUAUCACUAAAAGUUAGGUCCCCAAAGUCGAAAGUAAAACAAACAGCGAGAGAUCAUUAUCUGAAGCAGACCUUUACUGGCUCUGUACAGACAAAAGUCAUUGCUAUGUUUUGUUUUUCUUUUCUUUUUUUUUCCUUUAGACCAAGUAGUAUUGCUGUCUGUAUUUGGGAAUGUCUUAGUCUGUACAGUUGGGCGGGCGGUGCAUUUAUUCUGCUUGUGCCUUUUCUCUUCUCUUUGAAAGCCUAUCACUGGCUCAGGGUGGACUCUUUGUGUGGCCUUCAGAGAGUCACUUAACCUUCCUGUGCAUCAGUUUACUCAUUUGUAAAAGGAGUAUUAUAAUAAUAGGCACCCCUUAGGGGCUCUUCCAGAUUUAAAUAAUUAAUGCUGGUAAAGCGGUUUGUGAGCCUCAGAUUAAAGGUGCUAAAUAAAGGCAAUAUAUAAAUAUUUUUUACUCCAACUCUUUAUAGAAAGAGCAAAGCCAUAGCCCGAUAACUCCUGGAUUUAUAGCUGGGAGUUAAUGUUACCGUGCUCAGAGGAAAUUUUAAUUUCUGUGGUUCUGAUUCAGCAGAGCUCUUAAUUCCAUCCUUAAUUUUAGAAAGGCCCAUUAAUUUCCAGAGGCAUGGCUCCCAGCCUGGAGUGCUUUGUUGCAUUAGUUCCUUUAAGAGCAGUGCUGGACAAGAAGGAUCAGCUGUGCAUGUAUGUGCAUACGUGUGCCAUGUGUGCUCAUGACCUCAGCAAGAGCAUCGCUGCAACCAGAAUACAAUCAGCAAGCCUCUUCAAGGUAGCAAAAUUCAUCCAGGAUGUAAAUCAAUAAAUGUAACGGGAGAGAAACUACAAGCUGUGCAUUUCCACGGAGGCUGAGGUUUGUGGGAGGGAUAGAGGCUGCUGAGCAUGACCUAAUGCCGCAGGAACAAAAAGCAACCACAGACCUCAGCAUCUAAACAGUCUGAAUAUUGAACCAGAGGUCUUUGAGUAAUUGUCCUUUCUUCACUCUGGGGGUGAAAAGGGUACAUUAGACAUUCACUAGCUGCAAAUGGCACCUGACAUCUCUUUAAGUGAAAGUCAGCUCGGAAUUUUUUUUAAUGGCCAAGCAUAAAUCUUUUAAAUUAUAAAUCAAUAAAUAGUUAAUUCAAUAAUAGGAAUCUUUUAAAUAUUUAAUGAGUCAUAUGCAGAAUGGCUCUAUAACUGGAUGUUGAUGGAACUGUGUCAAAGGAAUUUGAAUCAAACUUUUCUAAACUCCCCAUAUUAAAAUAGUUAUUGAUUCAAACAUAAACUAUGAAGACUGCUGGAAAAGGACAGGGGGGGCGGGGGCUCAGCAUGAAUUUUCUCACCCGAGAAAAUGUAGAAUUAGCAGCUUAUUUUGAGUCACGUAUUCUUGAGCCUUUCAGGUAGUUUUAGUGUUCCCAGAACAAAACUGAGUAUGAACCUAUGCAGACAGCACACUGUGUGUGUGCAUAUUCAUUGAAAUCUUGUUUUAGUGGCACCUAUGCCCUUAAAGAAAAGCAGUGGCCAUCUGCCUCUCGUUAAAGGAUUCUGCUAACCAGCACUGACAUCGAUAUCCUGAACUGUCUCUGUCUGAAACUGACCCAAAGUUUUAAUUUCUUUACUAGAAUUUGCAUGUGGAAGACAGUGGAAAUUGUACCUACACAUGCUAGACCUCAAUUAGCUUCUUUCCAUUUUUUUUGUUUUAGGGGAGAUCUGCAGUCAGUGUUUACUGCUAUUAGAUUUGUGCUGUGCUAAGUCAACAGUUGUAUUUCUAAGUUCCCUAAACUGGAGGAAUCUCAUGCUUAAUCCUGCAGACUGUUAUUGCAUAGCAGAUACUGCAUCUUCACGUUUUUUGGCUUCCAACCCUUACUUCCAAAGCAAUUGUCUAGAUCUUGUGUUUCUCUCUUCAGCUGGC